AGGGAAUCCCCAGUGUAGCGGUGAAAUGCGUAGAUAUUGGGAAGAACACCGGUGGCGAAAGCGCUCUGCUGGGCCGAACCUGACGCUGAGGGACGAAAGCUAGGGGAGCGAAUGGGAUUAGAUACCCCAGUAGUCCUAGCCGUAAACGAUGGAGACUAGGUGUUGCCUGUAUCGACCCGGGCAGUGCCGAAGCCAACGCGUUAAGUCUCCCGCCUGGGGAGUACGCACGCAAGUGUGAAACUCAAAGGAAUUGACGGGGGCCCGCACAAGCGGUGGAGUAUGUGGUUUAAUUCGAUGCAACGCGAAGAACCUUACCAGGGCUUGACAUCCCGCGAAUCCCGGCGAAAGUUGGGAGUGCCUACGGGAGCGCGGAGACAGGUGGUGCAUGGCUGUCGUCAGCUCGUGUCGUGAGAUGUUGGGUUAAGUCCCGCAACGAGCGCAACCCUCGUCCUUAGUUGCCAGCCUUAAGUGGGGCACUCUAGGGAGACUGCCGGUGAUAAACCGGAGGAAGGUGGGGAUGACGUCAAGUCAUCAUGCCCCAUAUGUCCUGGGCGACACACGUACUACAAUGGUCGGGACAGCGAGCAGCCAACUCGCGAGAGUGAGCUAAUCUCUCAAACCCGGCCUCAGUUCAGAUUGCAGGCUGCAACUCGCCUGCAUGAAGGAGGAAUCGCUAGUAAUCGCAGGUCAGCAUACUGCGGUGAAUCCGUUCCCGGGCCUUGUACACACCGCCCGUCACACCAUGGAAGUCGGCCAUGCCCGAAGUCAUUACUCUAACCGUUCGCGGAGGAGGGUGCCGAAGGCAGGGCUGAUGACUGGGGUGAAGUCGUAACAAGGUAGCCGUACCGGAAGGUGUGGCUGGAUCACCU
rnacentral:rRNA from 1 species